rnacentral:rRNA from 1 species
GUGUCAGCCGCCGCGGUAAUACGAAGGGACCUAGCGUAGUUCGGAAUUACUGGGCGUAAAGCGCGCGUAGGCCGUUGAGUUAGUUAAUUGUGAAAUCCCAAAGCUUAACUUUGGAACUGCAAUUAAAACUGCUCGACUAGAGUUUGAUAGAGGAAAGCGGAAUACAUAGUGUAGAGGUGAAAUUCGUAGAUAUUAUGUAGAACACCAGUUGCGAAGGCGGCUUUCUGGAUCAACACUGACGCUGAGGCGCGAAAGUAUGGGUAGCAAAGAGGAUUAGAUACCCUCGUAGUCCAUACCAUAAACGAUGAUUGCUAGAUGUUGGAAAUUUAUUUUCAGUAUCGCAGCUAACGCAUUAAGCAAUCCGCCUGGGGAGUACGACCGCAAGGUUAAA